ACCCUAACAGCUAAUGAGAGGAAGCACAGGUUUCCCAGGGCAGCCUCGUGGCAUUUCUCUGUGAAUAGGUAAAAAGGAGAUGAGAGUAAUUCAAGCUAAGGGAGCAAACAGCAGGGACAGAGCGUCCCUCCCUCCCUGUCUGUAGAAAUCAGCAGAUAGCACACCUGCUGCUGCUCAAGCUCCCUCUGCCAAGCAGAGCAGCACAGCUGCAAGACACUGCUUCUGGCCGGCUGCUCUGAGCUCUGCCUGUCUUCUGGGAUGGAGCCCCGCCCAAGGCAAGUUCAACUGGGUUCUUUGGCAGCUGAAGUCUACACGGACCCAGCAGGGAGCGGCGGAGAAAAGUGCCUACUUUGAUGACUUAUUACCCUAGUGCCUUUGAUCUCCACUGUAGAAAAUGCUCUGCUCCAUUUCAGAACAGAUUGCCAUGUGCCCCAUUCUCUGGCCUGUGGAGCAAACCAGCGACAGACCUCACAGAUAGAAAUCCACCAUUGGCCAUUCACAAAGAGAGUUCUCCUAGUAAGGGGAGUGAAUGUGAUGAUCCAUAUUUCCUGGAAAAUCUUCCUAGAGGCCUGAGAUGAUAAAUAUUGCCUGUUCCAGAACAGUGUUGCUCCUCUUCAGAUAUUAAGAAGAUGCAGCCAUGAACAGAAAGGCUCAUGAACGUCUAGAAAAACACUACAAUUCCAAGACAUUCUUACAGUUAAUGUGUCCAGCUGGAAGUAAUGUGGCCAUGAAUGGAAUUGAGAAAUCUGCCUUCAAUAAGACAAAAAUAAAUAAGCCAAACCAUGGAAUUUCAAGGCAUUUAUACCAUGUCUGAGGUUCAAGACCAGGAUGGAUUUUGGAGAGGGAAUAUUAUUCUUGGGAGACAGAAAAAUUGCAACUUGCCAGUUGAUUGACCUCCAUAUGUUCUCUACUCUGCGUUCCACAUUGACUGUGUGCUACACUGCGCGUGUAGAGAUUGCUGACUAUUUACAAGACACUAUUCCAUACUGGAGACACUUGUGAGCAAAUUUGACAUGUCUGCUUCCUCCUGUCUUUUCUUCUACGUCAUACUCAUUGUGAGUAAUUACGAACAUCCAUAUGGGGGAGCCACUUUGAAGUUCUGCACAAAAACAACACAUGACCCUAAAGAUGAAAAAAAUAACUUCCUUCCAUCACAAAGAGUUCACAUUUUCCUCUACAUUCUAUUUUGUGAAAAGGAAAUGAGGACUUGAGUGAAUCUUAAGGUUUUUUUUUCUCCAAAAUAUGGAUAUUAAAUCAGAAACCAAACAAGAAGCAAAGAACAAAAGCCACAGCAACGCAACAGCAACAAAAAAAACGAGGAGUCUUCUGGUUCAAUCCAACGCAGUAACCUGUAUGAUAGGUAACAAUGGUAAUUAUUCCAUAUAUACUCUUUCUAUUAAUAGAAGAAAUGCAAAGAGGAAGAAGUGGACAUCCACUGGCUUCCCUUUAGCUAUUGUGGCCGUCUAUAAAAAGAGAAUUGGAGAAGAGAAUAAUUAUCUCCUUAUUUGGUUCAGGUAAACAGUCAUUUUUUAUUUUCAUAAAGACACUACAAAACAAAAGGCAUUAUUGCAGAAAACUUGGGAUUGUUACUAAAUUAUCAGAUAAUCUCUUCUACUCUACUUUGCUAUUGAUGAAUGUUUUACCUAUUAUCCCCAAUAAUUGUGUAUGGCUAUGUUCCAAAGGAAAUAAAAAUAAUAUUCGGCUUAUGCAUGCUUUUUAUUAGCCAUAUUCUAAGAAGAUUUUUUUUCCAAAACAAGUUUAGUAGUCAUGCUUUCUAUUUUUAAUUUGUAUUUAACACUCCAUUUCAGUUCUCACCAUUCAUGUGCUCUGUGUUUACCUG
ensembl:lncRNA